GGCUGGGUGAACUUUGGUCGUGUCCCCGAGGGAUUUGCCAAUCGCCUCCGCCCGCGCGUCAAAACCCUAGCCGCCAGCCCUGCGCCCACUCCGCCUCGUUCUCCUCCCUCGACAGCGCCGCACCUCCUCCCUCAUUCCUGCUCAUCCGGAUAGCCGCCGGCUGCCGCAUCCCUUCUCCCCCUUCCUCCUCCUUCCUCCUUCCCGCUGGCACCGACGAGGGGGCCUCUCGCAUGGACGGCCGGGGCUUCAAACCAGGGGGGCCAAGAAAGCCGGCCGGCGGCGGCCGGGGCGGGCGCGGAGAGGGCCGAUGCGGCGACCGCGGGCGGGGCGGUGGCGGCCAAGGCCAGGGAGGACGAGCAGCAGCAGCGUCUCCAUGGACGCGGCGGCGUGACGGCUUCCAGGCACGGAUCCCCUCCUCCGCCUCCAUCCUCCACCUCUCCGGUCGCCCGGUUGCAACGCAGCAGCAGCUCCUUCCUACCUUCCAUGGACGAACUCGACGGAGACGCCGUCCAGCCCGACCACGGCCACGACUACCCCACGCACAAGAAAGGUAGUUAUUGUGAAUUGAUGUUCGCACUGAGGCUGGAGGCGAGAGGCGAGGGCACGAAGGUCGGCGGCAAGUGCUCAGGAGAGAAGAGGAAGGCGGUGGUGGCUGCGGUUUACACGAGAGCGAGGUGACCUGCCCAGAAAGGUAGUUACAGUGAAUUGAUGUUCAUAUGAACUUCAAUGUUGUGACAUUUUUAUUAGAUCUGAGUUGCAAUCCUCAAUUUUUUUAGGUUUGAGUAGCAAUGUUCCUGCUCUACUAGACAUUUUCCAUGUUUUUUCUUCUAAUAUCGUAUAGCCUCCAUGCUUAUGGGUUCAACUUGACAAGCUUUUUUCAUCUUACAUCCUGUUUUAAGCUCUGUUGAUGGUUGAUUUCUGCCAUGUUUAUGGAGGGAGAGGACGCCAAGUACUAGGAGAAGGAUCAGUUUAGCAAGUAGAGGCUGUAAUUCUCUUAUGAUUAUGGAUCUGAGGAUGAAGAGAAGAUAUGGGUUAAGUUUCGGAGUGAUUCAGUUGGUCAAAAAUAUGAAACACAUCAAAGGGGUACUAUGCAAUACCUAGAGCUCGAGUAGAUAUACAUUAUUCAAUUCAUAUUUGAUUCCAGUGGUUUUACUUCCAUACAACAGGCUUGUUGCUUGGCUGCUAUGGAGAAGGGUAUUCUUUGAAGGAGUUGUAGACCUUUUGGAUAUGCUUCAAUUUGGACACUUUUUCAGUAUGUAUAUGAUAUGGGCAGGAAAUGAAAAACUUAAUGUGGCUGGAGUUCUACGCGGAUUAAAUCUAAUUAUCCUUAUAUUUCAACUCCAAUGACCCGGCCUCACAUGAAUGCGGUUUUGGGCAUGUGUUUCGAUUCAUUCGGUUUCGACGGAAUCAAAGGUGCUAGCUUUCAUGGCUAGGAUUUUUUUAGCAUAUUCAAAUCUGUAUUAGAAUAAGGUUUCCCCCUUGGAUGUUCCUUAUGUAUCCAUAUAUUAGAUUUUUGUGUGGUUCAUUUGUUGCAAAUAUAUAAAUAAUAAUCUGAUUGACUAUAUGCAGAUUUGGUUUGAAAUCUUAAAGCAGUCUCUGACAAGUUGUAGGUGAAGAAGAUCAUGUCCUAGGAGUUAAAUGCACGUGGAGUACAUUUAUUGUAUGCAUUUUGUUUAGAAGUAUUCAGUUUCAUAGCAUAAUCAAGUGUUUUUCAAUACUCUCUCUCUCUCACACACACACAAAAUGUCUUUAAUUUCUGUUUUUUUAAUGUAUUGGCCUCUGAAUGAUCUUCAUGGUAUAUAUCUAUAUCGUUGAAUGACCUCGACUUGUACCUUUGUGGUUUGCAAACACUAAAACAUGUGUUGCUACAGAGUUAUCUUAGUUUUGACGUUGAUCGGUGCAGGUGGGUUCUCAUGGUAGGAUUUGAUCCACUCGGAUAUCAAUGGUACUGAUACUUAAGUUGGAUUUCUUUAAAAAAAUAAAGUAUGUCCUAUGUUAGUUUGGGCGCAAGCCUGUAUCAUGAAUACAUACUGCUCACAGUGCAUUUGCAUGAGAAGCCCUUCACACGAAAAAACUAUACAUUCACAUUUUUUUCUGCGGAAACUAUAUAUUUACUUAUUAUUCAGAGCUCACUGUAUGAAAUCCGAGUGGUGCUCAAGAUGUUAAUUAACUAGCUUUGUGAAUGGGGUGGUGAAAAAUACUGCUCACUUUAUUUGUUUGGUCGCAAGCCUAUAUCAUGUACACAAACUGCUCAAUUUAUUUGAACCUUCAGAAAAUAAAUCAAUUUGCUCAAGCCUUUCUGCUGUUGAUUCCAGUUCAUUGGAGUAACUUUAAUAUUUCUUCUCAUUGCAUCAGUUAACAUGAAUGCAAAAUAGAUUUGUUGUCUCAUGCUAUCCCGUAUCAGGGAUGAUGCCACUAAGUUGUUAUAAUUAUGCUUGUAGUCCUUGUCGGAGUUUGGGUACUGCACUUUAUAAUGCAAAGGAAUGGUAUAAACGAUAGCUGGUUCUUUCAUGUAGUAUGCCUUUUUCUAUAAUGUAUAUUAUGGAUGCGGUACUUCUUCGAAACCUUCAUAAUGCUUUUUGUCAUGCAACAACUUGCUAACAAGUCCUGGUCUGUUGCAGUUGAUUGCACAUGUGGAGGGCUUCUGGAUGCAUUUAUUGUCUCAUGUCACAAGGAUUUACAACUUUUACGAGAAUGCAGGUGUAGAGUAUUGAUAAUUCCAGAUAGUUCACUUCCCACAAUAGAGCACCCUACAGUACUAUCAAUUAUUCAGUCAGAGAACCACACUAUGCUGAAUAUAUUGGUGGAUCAGGUACAUCGAUAAGCACCCAAUGUUCAGACAGAUGAAGAGAGUGAAAAUAUAUUGGUGGAUCAGGUACAUUGAUAAGCACUCAAUGUUCAGUCAGAUGAAGAGAGUGAAAACAGCGUUUACUCUGAAUUUUCAGACAGAGUGGCGAUGCAGCUGGAAGUUUGAGGCACUGGAUUCCCCCUGACCGAGGAACAAUCAAGUUAAAUCUAGAUGCUUCAUUCUUUGCUCAGACUUGGAGGAGCUAUAUCGGGGCCAUCGCCGGGGAUUUUUUUUGGUGUUUCUUCUAUUUAUCCAAGAGCAUUGACAAAUGUAGUUCUGUGGAAGAGGCUGAGGCUCAGGCGAUGCUAGAUGGAUUGACAGCUCUGACAAUUAUGUACAACAAUGUCUGUUUCCCAACUUCAUGCGACAUUAAGACCAGCUCUUCUGUUCUUGUCCAAGUCCGGGCAGCAGAACCAGUAUACCAUCGCCCAUGCCCUUGGUGUGUGUGUGCCAGAACUAAAGAGAACAUACUCAAGAUUGCAGAUAUCCCAGCGGAGUUACAUGGGGCAGUUAAAUCUGAUUGUAAACAAGGUUCCUGAGUAGUUUCUACUCUGUAUCUAAAACAUGCAUCCGAUGGAAAAAACUAUUAAUAUUGCAAUGUAUUUCAGGAAGCGGAUUAUGAGCACUCGGGUGCUCUACCCCCCUGCAUAGCACCCGAGAGCUCCUAUGCAUUUCCGUGCAUUUCA